UCCUCUACCUUUUCGCCGCCUUACACCGCUCUGGCCCACAGGACCGAAAUGAGCCGCAAACGCGUGCGCGCGGAGGACAUUCACUACUGGCUGCUGAAGUCAGAGCCUCACAAGUUCUCCAUCGACGACUUGGCGAAGCAAAAAACCUCUCCAUGGGAUGGGGUGCGCAACUACGCUGCACGGAACAACAUGUGUGCAAUGUCAGUCGGCGACAAGGUCCUCUUCUAUCACAGCAACACAAAGGAACCGGGAGUUGCUGGCCUCGCUGAGGUAGUCAGGCUGGCUUACGACGAUUUCACUGCACUGGAAAAGACGUCGGAGUACUUUGACCCAAAAGCCACAAAGGAGAAAAACCCAUGGAAGAUGGUGGAUGUGAAGUUUGUUGCAAAAUGGGACACCGUCUUGACACUGCAUGAGCUGAAGUCGCGCAGGGAGCUGCAGAAGAUGGCUCUCUUCACACAAUCACGUCUGAGCGUGCAGCCGGUGAGUGCAUCGGAGUACGCGUACAUUUUGCGCAUGAAUGAGGAACAGCAGCGAAAACAAGGGAUGCGGCAGGAUCAUCGCUGCCCCUGCGAUGGCCGCCCCACAGGAUGGACAGACCAGGGCAACAAAAGACAGAAAAGAAAAAAGACUGCGAAGCGACUGAGUUUUCUGCGCCAGUGAGGCGACGGCUUGCCUUUGCCCUCAGCCGAGUCAACUUCAUAAGCG
rnacentral:misc_RNA from 1 species